rnacentral:rRNA from 1 species
CGAAUUCCUUUAUUAUGGUCGACUAAAUGUUGGUUCACUUCGGUGAAGCCCAAGCAUUUGUUAGACUUAACCAUCUACUGUGCAGAAAUACGCGGUAAGGCGAAUCUAGAGAACUUUGCUGAUCGUAAGGGCAUGCGCCGACAACGUUUCAAUUGAGUUUCUGCCCUAUCAAUUUGUUGGUAAGGUAUUGGCUUACCAAGGUUGCAACGGGUAACGGGGAAUCAGGGUUCGAUUCCGGAGAGGGAGCCUGAGAAACGGCUACCACAUCCAAGGAAGGCAGCAGGCGGGCAAAUUACCCAAUCUAGACAGUAGGAGGUGGUGAAGAGAAGUACUGAGUGGGGGCCUUUCUUCCCCCAAUCUGGAAUGGAAAUUAUUUGAGCUAAUUCGUUAAGUUAUUCUUGAA